rnacentral:lncRNA from 10 species
CUCCAUUCUAGUUCUGAGUACAAAUAAAUGCCUGACAUAUGGUCUAAGCCAAAUUCCAAAAUGUAGCAAAAACAGUGCCUGCAUAUUUGGCAGGAAUUUAAACCAGUUCAGGUCAGUGUCUCUUUCUGCCCAAAGAAGAGUUUCUGCAUUUGCACUGAGCUAGGAAAAUAACACAGGAAAACAUGGGGAACAACACGGAAUAUUGUAAGCUCCAGUACCCGGCUGGCCAAAGAAUAAUGUUUGGGGCAACUCUGAAAUUACCGCCCAGGCUGCAGUUUGGGUUUGCAUAACGUCUUGGAGGACUGUGAGCAAGACAGAAAGUACCGAUUGCAUUGUUUGGCUGGUCUACUUGUGGGUACAAAGGCCCAGACCCAUUGUUUCAACUGGAGACCUGUGAAGGGCGAUCCCAGCCUCAGAACCUCGCAUGGGAUGGACUCAGUACUCUGCUGCAACUGCAUUUCAGUUUAACUUCUCCCUUUACCCAGUCCUAACUUCCUUAUUCCCUAAAAAAUGUUUCUGGGAGUGCUCCUCAGUAAACUUCAUGCAUAAACACUUCAGAGGCUCAGAGUAUGUUUCCUGGAGAAUUCCAUCUGUGGCGUUUCCUCUUCAUGCCUACUGCCACCAUCCAGGUUUAGGCCCCCAUUACCGCUUACCUGGAAUAUUGCAAAAGCUUUAUCACUAUUCUCUUUGCUCACUGGCUCUCCUAUAAUCAGUCUACACAACAGCAGACUAAUUUUUUUUAUCCCAGAUCAUAGCUCUUAUGCUGUUUUCCUGCUCAAAAACUUUGGUGGCCCCCCAGUCUAUUUAAUUAGGUUCUUACUCCUUAUUGUGAUUUUCAAGACCCUUCCCAAUUUAGCCCCCACUAUUUUCAGCUCUCAUCUUCUACUCCAGUAUAAGUAUGCUCCGCUCCAUUUAAACUAGAACAUUUGCAAUCCUCCAAAUCUACUGUAAAAAUUCAUUUUUCCUAUAUUUGUUCCAAAUGUUCUCUUCUAUUAUCUUCUUUAUAAAAUUUGAACCAUAUUUCAAGGUCCAUUCUCCUUUUUCUUUUUCAUUUUUUUUCUAGAUGGAGUCUCGCACUGUCGCCCAGGCUAGAGUGCAGUGGCGCGAUCUCGGCUUACUGCAACCUCCGCCUCCUGGGUUCAAGCGAUUCUCCUGCCUCAGCCUUCCGAGUAGCUGGGAUUACAGGUGCCCCCCACCACACCCAGCUAAUUUUUGUAUUUUUAGUAGAGACGGGAUUUCACUGUAUUGGCCAGGCUGGUCUCAAACUCCUAACCUUGUGAUCUACCCACCUCGGCCUCCCAAAGUGCUGGGAUUACAGGCGUGAGCCACUGCUCCUGGCCAGGCUUAAGGUCCAUUGUGAGAGCAAUAUUCAUUCUUGGCAUACCUGUAUCAAUGUAUCUUAUGUACCCCAUAAAUAUAUAUCCCUACUAUGUGACCAAAAAAAUUAAAAAUAAAAUAAAAAUUUAAAACCCAUACAUUCUCCAUGCAGAUUUUCCUCGUACCUCAACCCAAUGUCAUCUCUUCUUCAUUAGUUAUCCCAAUGCAGUUUGUACUUCUCCUUGGUAUCUAUUGAUUAUAUUUACUGUGUGUCAAUUUCACCAUUUUACCUCUCUUCCCUAUCCUUUCACCUGCACUGAUAGAAUGUAACUGUGAGAGCAAGAUUUUACCUCAAUCAUCUUUGUAUCACUUGAAACAAGAAGCAUCAUCCUUAAUCCUGGAGUUCAAUAAAUCAUUAAUAAAUUCAAUUGAAUACAAGCUGCCAAUUUGUUUGACAUUUUUGUGAAUGC